AACGAACGCUGGCGGCAUGCCUAACACAUGCAAGUCGAACGAGACCUUCGGGUCUAGUGGCGCACGGGUGCGUAACGCGUGGGAACCUGCCCUUAGGUUCGGAAUAACUCCCCGAAAGGGGUGCUAAUACCGGAUAAUGUCUUCGGACCAAAGAUUUAUCGCCUUUGGAUGGGCCCGCGUUGGAUUAGCUAGUUGGUAGGGUAAAAGCCUACAAAGGCGACGAUCCAUAGCUGGUCUGAGAGGAUGAGCAGCCACACUGAGACUGAGACACGGCCCAGACUCCUACGGGAGGCAGCAGUGGGGAAUAUUAGACAAGGGGCGAAAGCCUGAACCAGCAAUGCCGCGUGAGUGAUGAAGGCCUUAGGGUUGGAAAGCUCUUUUACCCGGGAGGAUAAUGACAGUACCGUGAGAAUAAGCUCCGGCUAACUCCGUG
rnacentral:rRNA from 1 species